rnacentral:rRNA from 1 species
UACGAAGGGGGCUAGCGUUGUUCGGAAUUACUGGGCGUAAAGGGCGCGUAGGCGGUGUGUCAAGUCAGGCGUGAAAGCCCCGGGCUCAACCUGGGAACCGCGCUUGAGACUGGCACGCUCGAGUUCGGGAGAGGAUGGUGGAAUUCCUGGUGUAGCGGUGAAAUGCGUAGAUAUCAGGAGGAACACCGGUGGUGUAGACGGCUUUCUGGACCGUAACUGACGCUGAGACACGAAAGCGUGGGUAGCAAACAGG